UACGGGGGGAGCAAGCGUUGUUCGGAUUUACUGGGCGUAAAGGGCGCGUAGGCGGUCAGCACAAGUCAGUUGUGAAAUCUCCGGGCUUAACUCGGAAAGGUCAACUGAUACUGUGCGACUAGAGUGCAGAAGGGGCAACUGGAAUUCUCGGUGUAGCGGUGAAAUGCGUAGAUAUCGAGAGGAACACCUGCGGCGAAGGCGGGUUGCUGGGCUGACACUGACGCUGAUGCGCGAAAGCCAGGGAGCGAAGCGGG
rnacentral:rRNA from 1 species